GAUGAAGAACGCAGCGAAAUGCGAUAAGUAGUGUGAAUCGCAGAAUUCAGUGAAUCAUCGAAUCUUUGAACGCACAUUGCGCCCCUUGGUAUUCCAUGGGGCAUGCCUGUUCGAGCGUCAUUUGUACCUUCAAGCUUUGCUUGGUGUUGGGUGUUUGUCUCGCCUUUGCGUGUAGACUCGCCUUAAAAUAAUUGGCAGCCGGCGUAUUGAUUUCGGAGCGCAGUACAUCUCGCGCUUUGCACUCAUAACGACAGCGUCCAAAAGUACAUUUUACACUCUUGACCUCGGAUCAGGUAGGGAUACCCGCUGAACUUAAGCAUAUCAAUAAGCGGAGGA
rnacentral:misc_RNA from 1 species